GUGCAGGAAACAGGAAUCAGGCAGUCUUAAGCAGCUGGAUUUUGGUGAAGAAGAUUUACAACUAGAGUCAAAAGAAGCACCUUGCAAAAGAACCCUUUGUGAAGAGAACAGUAUAUGUCUAUGCACCUGCUCUGACGUUGGAGCCAGAAGCACUAUCAUGCUGAUCUUCCUACAUCCUUGGAAGGAAACACUGCAAGGAAGUCAGGAAACACUGCCAAAGUACUGGGGAAACAUGUCAAUAUAAAGAAGAUUUUAUUAAUUCGCAAAGUCGAAACUUUGACCUGACAUUUCCAAGCAGCUCUUGAGAGGGAGGAACACAAGAAGGCAGCAGGAACAGAAAACCUAUCACUGGAAGGCAAUGAGAGUCAAUGAGCCCGAAAAACAACUGUUCAGUCACGAUAAUCCUAAUAAGUAAGAGUAAUUUUUCAAGCAUGUCUUAUAGGCAGAUAUCUAACUGAAAGUGAAAUAACCUUUGGAAAAAAAAAAAAAAAAUGAAAGACCACUGCAGCUAGUAGCCUUUUAAGUUAGGAUCCUCGAAAGAGUAUGAAGUAAAAUUGUGUAUGUAAUGAUUGAAUAAGAAACAGAUGGGGAAAGUGGUUUAUUAUGAAGAAACUGAAUUAACAAGGAAGGCUUAAAUGACUUGUAAAGGAAAAUAAUUUUUCCAAUCUUCAAUGAUUUUGAACACAAACCUUCAGAAUUUUACUCGUUUACAUUUUAUAUUCUUGCAGUAUAUAAACCACCCUGUUUCAUUGUGAUGACCAAGUAAUGAGUCUGAUAUCUGAAUAACACUGUUUGCAUCUGGCACUAGCAGAUGGAAAGACUUACCAAAUAUACUUCGUAAUAUCUGUCUUUCAAUUUAUACUUUCUGAGUGGUG